AGAGUUUGAUCAUGGCUCAGGACGAACGCUGGCGGCGUGGAUUAGGCAUGCAAGUCGAACGGUAGAAUCCUUUCGGGGAUUUGAGAGUGGCGAACGGGUGAGUAACGCGUAGGUUAUCUGCCUUUCAAAUGGGGGACAACCCAGGGAAACCUGGGCUAAUACCGCAUGUGUCCGGUAACGGAUAAAGAUGGCUUUAUGCUGUCGUUUGAAGAUGAGCCUGCGUCCUAUUAGCUAGAUGGUGGGGUAAAAGCCUACCAUGGCGAUGAUAGGUAGGCGGCCUUAACGGGUGGUCGCCCACACUGGGAUUGAGAUACGGCCCAGAUUCCUACGGGAGGCAGCAGUCGAGAAUAGUCUACAAUGGACGAAAGUCUGAUAGUGCGACGCCGCGUGAAUGAAGAAACCUUUCGGGGUGUAAAAUUCUUUUCUGUGCGAGCAGGGGCCUUAUGAGUAAUAUGCAUUUGGUCUGGAUAUUAGUACAGGAAUAAGCCACGGCUAACUCCGUGCCAGCAGCCGCGGUAACACGGGGGUGGCAAGCGUUGUCCGGAAUUACUAGGCGUAAAGGGCAGGUAGGCGGAUUUAUAAGUCAGACGUUAAAGACCUCGUCUCAAGCGGGGAGCGGCGUUUGAUACUGUAGAUCUUGGAUAUGGUGGGGGAAGACGGAAUUCCAGGUGUAGCGGUGGAAUGCGCAGAUAUCUGGAGGAACACCCAAGGCGAAGGCAGUCUUCUACGCCACAAUCGACGCUAAACUGCGAAGGUGUGGGGAUCAAACAGGAUUAGAUACCCUGGUAGUCCGCACAGUAAACGAUAGACACUAGGUGUUGGGGGAGACGAAUCCUUCAGUGCCGUAGCUAACGCGUUAAGUGUCUCGCCUGGGGAGUACGAUCGCAAGGUUGAAACUUAAAUGAAUUGACGG
rnacentral:rRNA from 1 species